CGCCUCCAGUUUCCAGUGGUAAAUUUUAGGUUAUGUGUUUAUGUUUAUGUGUGUUUGUUGAAACCGACAUUAAAUUUGAUUAUUUCAUUGAAAAGUAUUAACAGAAGAUAAGGAAAUUAAGCCGUAGUAAUACUGACUAUCCAAUAAAACUACAAAGUUAUCUUUCAAUUCAACAUGGGACAGGAUUAUUUCUAAGAUGAGGCUUGAACCUGUGAAUUACUGAGCUAUUGAUGCUAUGUACGUAUAUCUAAUGUUCCAAGGAUUAUAACUUUUCUGUGAUCAUCUUACAACAGUGUAUAUUCACAUGGAAAGAGAAUCGAGGGAGAAAUGAACUAGUUAUUAUUGUUAAAAUAAUGAACAAUUUCGUUUCGUACUACUUCUCCUCUCAUAUGCCAAUUCCCUUGAUGUACAAUGUUGACUGGAAUAUUGUUAUCGUCGUUGUGUUGAUCAACUUCUUCGAAGAUUUCUUCAUCAGGCAGUUCAUCUUUGUAAAAGCGUGCUAUGUUGUGUAGCACUCCGCAGCUAUAAAUAAUUUUACCAGCUUUUAUGGGAUCAUAAUUCAAUACACGAUGUUUAAGUGUGUUUUCUGGAGCAUUUUCAAAUGGAGUUAAUAGAAAGGGCUGUAAAGGGUAUCCAGAGUCUCCAAUUAUAAAUAAAUUAGAGCCUUGAAUAUACUGAUUUUCCAUAAUAGCUUUGACAUGUGAAGCUUGCCAUAUAGCUGAAUCGUGAGUAGAACCAGGGAAGCGAGCGUUCAUGUUUAAUAUAUUAUAAUCGCUGUCCACAAUUAUUUGGCAAUUUAUACUAUAAUAUCCUUUCCUACAGAAGUAUGGCAGUGCUGGAUAAUUUUCUAGUGGUGAUAUAAUUGCAAUAUGGGUGCAAUCAAUAACACCCAAACAUCUUGGCAUGUUAAAUUUGUCCAUGAACCCUUCUACAACUUUAUUCUUUGCAUUUUGAGUUUGGGGAAAUUUUAUCCAAUUAGGUUGGCUUAUUGCAAAAUUAUAAUCAUGGGCACUAGUUAGUUGAUACCCGCCAGUAGCAUAAAAGUGGAGGCUUGCAAGGAACUUCAAUUCUAGUGGUACAGCUGUAAUUCUUGGUCCUUGCUGUAGAUAAGGUCUAAUCAUAUCAAUUAUUACUCUUGUGACAUCUUUAUUAAAUCGGAAGAUUGUUUUGAAUGUUUUGUUAGGAAGUUGGAAUGGAUUAUUCAUAUCUCUAAUUAAUCUCUGAUGAAGCCUAACUUCAGCUCUGUAGAAUUUUGAAACCAAAUAGGAGUAUAAUAAUGUAGAUAUUUAUGCAAAAAUAUAAUUAUUUACCUUUCCUCAUCUUCAAUAAAUUCAUCCACCAAUAUUUCGCCGGCAAUAUCGAAAAAAGCCAUUUUAUGAGCGUUUUAAAGGUGUUUUUUACUAAAUAUAAAAAUUUCGAAUACGCUAAACGUCAAAAACUUAUGGCCGCUAAAAUUUAAAGGUGAUUGUUCCGACCCCUCUAAAAUUUUUCAUUUUAGAGGGCGAUUUUAAAGGAAUCUGUUAAAUUUUAACAGGUUUUGAAGUUGGUGAAUACCAAAUCAAUUUUAAGGGCCGCUAAAAUUUUAAAGGCCUCUAAAUUUUAACGGGACGGUUACAGAAUAGACCCCUAUUUGCUCUUAUCACCAAAAGCACAUUAAAAUCCAUUUUGCCCCCAAAAAAUCCACAAACUAAUUUGAUUCAGACUACUGUAACCUCUGAUACUAUUAUAU